GCGAGAUUAGUUCAAUGGUAGAAUGCCACCUUCCCAAGGUGGAGAUGCGAGUUCGAUUCUCGUAUCUCGCUCCA
rnacentral:tRNA from 1 species